rnacentral:lncRNA from 1 species
UUGGGAAACUUCGGAACAUUCUUUGAGUAUCAACAACUUCAGAAGUCGGAGAUAGAAUAAAAGCCACGACGUUGUACAUAAGUAAAAUCGAAAUUCGUUGCAUCGUAUUAGAAGGAAAAGACUACCAAAAACAUAUGAUAGAUAUGCCUAUACGAAUGGAAGCUCUUUUAGUCUAGUGGUUUGACUAAUGAUUCAUUAAUACUUCUACAUCAGAAGGUCGGCAUGGCGUAAGGAGUACCGUCAGACAUGGAUUUCAUAGGACGGCUGAAGAUGAUGUAGUCAGACGUGAAUCCACGUAGGGCAGGUAGAAUUGUUGGAUGUAGAAUCGUCUUGUAAUAUUUCUCAUAAUUUAUAAUGGCAUAAUUAACCAUCAAUAAAAAAAAAUAUGUCUAUACGAACGAGAUCUUUUUUGUUUAUAAAAAUUGAAAAUAUAUGAACGUGUAGGUGUGUAACAAAAGGUAUUAUCAUAGCACUUAGAGAUUUUG